CAAAGAGUAUGAGGAGAAAAACAAUUCAUUACUCGUGUGGAAACCCCCUCAAACAAAUAAACCACUAUAUUUUGGCUCUCGCUAUUAUGUACCCAACUCAGCAGAACUCACAGUGAAUCCAAAGGAACUGGAGUUUUCCUAUAGGAGCCCAGGACAGCUGCAAUCUUUUAUGGAAAUUUGCUUAAGAAAACACAGGAAAAUAAAUCUCAGCUUGAAAAAUGAAGACAACACUGUUUGGGAUGCUUGGCUGGACCAAGAGGACUUACAGGUUCCGACAAGUCAAAGAACAGAGGAUGCAGCCAGAGAACAAAGGAUUCAGCAGGUAUCUUCUGCUUCUGGCAUGCAACAUCCAGAAAAAGGUACUGUGAUUAGUGUCUUCCCGCUGUGUACAAAUCUGCCACA